GGGGGGGGGGGGGGGGGGGGGGGGGGGGGGGGGGGGGGGGGGGGGGGGGGGGGGGGCCCAGUUCAAUCCGAGUUUAUCCCAGUUCAUUCCAGUUCAUCCCAGUUCAUUCCCAGUUCAUUCCCAGUUCAUCCCAGUUCAGCCCAGUUCAGCCCAGUUCAGCCCAGUUCAAUCCCAGUUCAAUCCCAGUUUAUCCCAGUACAUUCCAGUUCAUCCCAGUUUACCCAGUUCAUCCCAGUUCAGCCCAGUUCAAUCCGAGUUUAUCCCAGUUCAUUCCAGUUCAUCCCAGUUCAUUCCCAGUUCAUUCCCAGUUCAUCCCAGUUCAGCCCAGUUCAGCCCAGUUCAGCCCAGUUCAAUCCCAGUUCAAUCCCAGUUUAUCCCAGUACAUUCCAGUUCAUCCCAGUUUACCCAGUUCAUCCCAGUUCAGCCCAGUUCAAUCCGAGUUUAUCCCAGUUCAUUCCAGUUCAUCCCAGUUUAUCCCAGUUCCAUCCCAGUUCAUCCCAGUUCAUCCCAGUUCAUCCCAGUUCAGUUCAUCCCAGUUCAGCCCAGUUCAAUCCGAGUUUAUCCCAGUUCAUUCUGAGUUUAUCCCAGUUCAUCCCAGUUCAUCCCAGUUCAUCCCAGUUCAUCCCAGUUCAUCCCAGUUCAUCCCAGUUCAUCCCAGUUCAUCCCAGUUCAUCCCAGUUCAUCCCAGUUCAUCCCAGUUCAUCCCAGUUCAUCCCAGUUCAUCCCAGUUCAUCCCAGUUCAUCCCAGUUCAUCCCAGUUCAUCCCAGUUCAUCCCAGUUCAUCCCAGUUCAUCCCAGUUCAUCCCAGUUCAUCCCAGUUCAUCCCAGUUCAUCCCAGUUCAUCCCAGUUCAUCCCAGUUCAUCCCAGUUCAUCCCAGUUCAUCCCAGUUCAUCCCAGUUCAUCCCAGUUCAUCCCAGUUCAUUCCAGUUCAUUCCAGUUCAGCCCAGUUCAGCCCAGUUUCAGUCCAUCCCAGUUCAAUCCGAGUUUAUCCCAGUUCAUUCCAGUUCAUCCCAGUUCAUCCCAGUUCAGCCCAGUUCAGCCCAGUUCAUUCCCAAUUAAUUCCCAGUUCAUCCCAGUUCAGCCCAGUUAUCCCAGUUCAAUCCGAGUUUAUCCCAGUUCAUUCCCAGUUCAUUCCCAGUCCCUCCCAGUUCAUCCCAGUCCAUCCCAGUCCCUCCCAGUCCAUCACAGUAUAAACUAGUUCCGACAACCCCUUCCCAGUCCAUCCCAGUCCUCUUUUCAUCCCCAAAUUCCCAUUUUACCCCUAAAAUCCCCAUUUUUCACCCCUCCCAGCGGCUCCCAGUAUAAACCAGUCCGGCCCGGUACCGGUAGACGCCGACCACCACGGCGUGGUCCCUCUCGUAGGGCUCCAGCGUCAGCUGCUCCUGCGGCUUCAUCCUCUCGGCCGUCAUCUUCUUCACCUCCCCCGCGAACACGGCCUCGGCCGGCGCCGUCGAGUCGAUGCAGUUGGCCUGGGGCGGGGAAAGCGGUUAGAGCCGGUUCUGAACCGGUUAGAGCCGGUUCCGACCGGUUAGAGCUGGUUCCAACCAGUUAGAACCAGUUAGAGCUGGUUCCAACCAGUUAGAGCCGGUUCCGACCGGGUCCGAACCAGUUACAGCUCGUUCCAACCGGUUCUGAACCAGUUAGAGCUGGUUCCAGCCAGUUAGAACUGGUUCCGACCGGUUCAGAACCAGUUAGAGCCGGUUCCGACCAGUUAGAACCAGUUAGAGCUGGUUCCAUCCAGUUAGAACAGGUUCCAACCAGUUCCAAACCAGUUAGAGCUGCUUCCAACCAGUUAGAACCAGUUAGAGCCGGUUCCGAACCAGUUAGAGCCGGUUCCAACCAGUCAGCACCGGUUCCAACCCGUUCAGAACCAGUUAGAACCGGUUCCAACCGGAUCAGAA
rnacentral:lncRNA from 12 species